UGCUUUAGUUGUUCGUGUCAUGUGUUCUGUUGACUGACUUUUGAGACUUGUGUAUUUUGUUGAUCAUUUAAAUGUUAAUAUUUUUGCAAUGAAAUGUUUUGAUAGAUAUGGCCAUGGUUAUAAAAUAGUUUUGUUUGCAUGAAUGUUUUAAUUGUAAUGUUGGUAAGGAGUAAGUGAAGAAAAUGUUCAGCAGAUUUUCUGACGCUUUACAAACCGCUGCAGACGUCUUGGCACCUCCAGCUACGAGGCUGGAAGAUUUCGAGUACCAUUGGAAGAUGAUACUCAACUUCUACCAAAAUUACGAUGACAGUACCAAGGUACACAUCGAAGACACACGGAUACCUCACCAUUUGCAUCAAAUGCUUCAGCUCAUAGUAGAAGAAGAGAAGGAGCAACAUGGAGGCACAGUGGGCGGGUGCUUAGAGGCUGUGGUGAACAGGAAAAUAUGUUUGCUAGAUGCACUGCCUGCGAUCGCAGCUGCCGACCGACCGCCGGGUGCCAGGGCUCUAGCACUAAACACUGCCACACAACUGCUUCGCAGGACGAGACAACCAUGUGUUAACAGUGCUAGUGUAUUUAGGCCUUUGCAGCGUAUGUUAAUCCAGUGUAAUGAGAUCCCAGCUUCGCCGACGGAGAAGGAAGAAGUAGAAUUGUUGCUUACUCUAUGUGGUCUUGUGAGAAAAGAGCCGGGUUUAGCUAACAUCUUUACAACACCCUUUGUAGAAGACAAAGCCAGUUUGCUCACUAUACCUGAGGAUAUACAGAAACUUAUACCUAUUAAGAAACUUAAGAUGCAACCACCAAAGAAGAACCCAUUGUUUGAAGUAGAGUUACCCGCAAACCCAUUAAGAAAUGUGUCGAUAAUCCGGACAUGUUCUAGAGAUGAACACUGUCACACAGGCUCCAGUAGUUCUAUGGCAGAUGAGAAUGCGUCGUGCAAGAGCCAAAAGACAGUCUAUGAUGAUAAUGAUAAGUUCCUCUUGAUUGACCUACUCCUCUCAUAUUUAAAUAGUGCUGAUAAUCAGGUAGUGCUCAGAGCGUGUGAAGGCAUAAUGAUAGUAUCUUCACUCCCGGAGGACGAUAUAGCCAACUUGGUGACGUCAUGCAGCCCCGCUUGUGAGACCAUCGUAGACAAGCUUGCGGCCAAGUAUAAGAACGUGCCGGCCAAUGUUGACCCGAAUGACGUCGAUCAUUUGAAUAUCACUUGGGCGUACGUGGCACAAGAUUAUGGGGACAAAUCAUACAACAAGUUUCAUGGAUACAGAGAAUUGACGAGUUUCUUUUCCUGGUUGGAUUACUGUGAUACACUUAUGAAGGAAUGCCACCCGGCGAUAGCGGCGCAUUUGUCACGCACAUUUCGGCAGAGCUUCCUCGAAGGCGCGGCGGAGUCAGGGCUGACCGACCUGCACCACGCGCUGCUCGUCACCGCUAUACUCAGCAAGUGUCUCAAGGUCGUUGACUCCUUCGACCUUAUCAAUGAGUUUUCCAACUGGCUGGUGGGCGACGGCGAGGUAUCUGAGUGGCCGCUACUUCACACCCUGAUCAGCAACUGCCUGACUGACGAUCACGACCUCACGCUGGAGACGCUUAGGUUUUUCGAGACGAUCAUAGAAAAAGGCACAGAACACAGCAUCCAUAGAUUAGUGUUGGCUAAGAUAUGUACGAGAGGCUAUUUCACGGUGCAAACGCCCUUGGAGGACGACGAGCGAGACAGACUGAAUGAUGUGCCGCUGUGGAGAGAAAGGGAGAGUAAUAAAGAGGCGAUGAAACAGCUGCAACACGAGGACCACGUCAACGAGCAGAUCACAGACAUUCUCUCACACGAAGGGCUCGACCCGAAGGAGCAGGGCGACUCCAACGACAACAUACACAGAAUUAUAAACAGUUUCCUGUUAUUGCUGCCGCGCGCCAUCCUGUCCGACCCGGUGGGCGCCGACUACGAACACUAUAUACAUGAUGCGCAUAGGCAUUAUCAGCUAUGGCUCGACGUGACAGCGAACUUUAACUGGCCCAACGAGCACAGCUACACGGACAACACGGCGAGCUCGACACACAGCUACGACAGCAGGCCCGAGGCGGACAUACACCUCGACGACGUCUUUGACACAACUAAAACACACAAACAGAAAUGCUGCACAGACAAGAACAAAAACUGUACCAACGAGUGCCUCUUCUCCCAGAGAUUAGUCCUUAGAAGUAAAGACAUGACUAGCUCCACAGCAGACGACGAGUUCGAUGAAGGGCCGUUCUUUAAAAUGCUGUUCAAACUGCUUGCCAACAUGCCUCAACAACCUUACCAAGUGAAUUUGCAUCUAACGUCUAUCAUAUCAAAGUUAGCGUUGAUGCCGCACCCGAAUUUACACGAAUAUCUGCUGAACCCAAUGCUGCCAACUGCGAAAAAGACGCAGACUCUCUUCAAAAUUCUGCAGGACGUGGCUAAACGGUUGACGAUGGAAAUACCAAGACUGAGGAAUUAUAAGAAGGUGAUCGAGAACACGAGGUUGCAGCUGAUGAGUGAGGAUCCAAGUUAUGAUGAGAGCGGCGAGCACAACCAGCUAGUGGAGAGUCUGAUAGUCCUCGAAGAGUUUAGCAAGGAGCUCGCGGCGAUCGCUUUCGUAAAAUUUCAGCAUUCUCUUCAUAUGCACAGGUAACUUAUUUAGAGCACGGAGUUAGGAACAGUGCAAUCAGUGAACGACGUUUUCGACCAUCUAUGUAUACUAUUACUAAUUUAUUUAUUAUCUUACCGGAUGUAAUAGAUUCGUAAGUACUUGUUAUAAAUAUUCGUUCACCGAUUGUCCCAUGUAGGUAAGUUAACUUUGUUUUACUAACAAUAGACAUAAUUGCAUUUUAUAUUGUUUAGAUACGCAGAUAGUUAUUUCUAUAUGUAUACAUCAGUAUUUAUGUGAUUCUUCGCAAUAACAAAUACCUUUGAAGACCUAAGUAAUAGUAUUGUGCCUAAGCCGAAUAGUUAUUUAUUGAUCACGUUAUGAAUGCAAUAUAUUAUUAUACGCUACAGUUGACAGCUUUAGGAUAAUGUUCGAGACGUCUGUGACUGUUCUAGGCUGGAAAUACGCACCCCAAUGCCUUAACGAAGUGCAAAUUAACCCCUUAAUUCCUCUGAAAUAUACAAAAAAGUCAGAAUGUUAAUGUGUAAAUACCCUAUGUAUUUUGGGUCAUUAUAAUCCAGUUCUCGUUAAUGUUGUAUAAUUGUUGUCUAAAUUAAAUUUGUAAGUCUAGUCUUUGCAGAAGAGUAGUUCUACGCCGGUACACAUAUACCAUAGUCUUAUUCUAGUCGAGAUUUCACAUUCCUUCAAACAUGUAUUGUUUUGUAUUUUAUGGAUUUUAUAACUGUGCUCUCUGAAUUCAUUUUGAAAACCCAGUGCACACUACGUAUUUUAACAACAUUAGAUAACCUCACAACUAUACAGGGUGUUAGUGACAUCGUAACGAAUACUGAGGAGAUUCAUCAGACCAUGAUUCUGAGUUAAUUAAUAUCAAGUGGAAUUUUCCGUCGCAAAUUCAUGUUUUUUUAGUUUUUAUUUCAAUUCUAUACUUUAUACUUUUGCGAUGGAAAAUUCCACUUGAUAUUAACUCAGAAUAAUGAGCUAAAUCAGCCCCCUCAGUAUUCGUUACGAUAUCACUUACACCCCAAACCAGUAAAUACAGUAGCCAUACAAGUACGUAUCGGUGUUAGUGACACCGUAACGCGACGCUUGCGUUUGCGAGGGAAAAUUCCACUUGAUAUCAACUCAGAAUCAUGCCUGAAUCAUCGCUCAAAGUUUUCGUUACGAUGUCACUAACACCCUGUAUAGUUGGAGGUACAUCCAUCGCAAGAUAAACUAAGUACCCAUACCUCACCGAGUUUUCCCGAGUUUAUUUUUCGUUCAGACAGUCGAAGGCCUAAGCUGUGGGUACUUUUUUGUCCGCGAUCUUAUUAUGUUGUAACUCGUGUUACUACUAAGCCUAAGAGGCUUCAAAUCUUAUUAAUCGGCAACUGCUAGUGGAAAUUUUGGAAAAUAUUAUACUUAUAAAUUCUAUUAUGUGCAUUUGUAUAAAACAAACAUAAAUUAUCAUGGGCAGUAAAGUGUUCAUGAUAUUAUAAAUAUAUUUAUAACAAAUCUUUAGGAGUUGAGCAUAGUUAAAAAUUGUGUUACCUCUAUUAUAACAGCUACAGUUGCAUAAAAUGUAUCAUGUAUUUUUUAUUUAUAAGCACAAGGAUAUUAUUUAUAAAUGAUUAUAAAUUAAAUGCGCUUGUUAAUAUUGA
rnacentral:misc_RNA from 1 species